rnacentral:rRNA from 1 species
GGUUACUGCUAUCGAGGUUCGACUAAGCCAUGCGAGUCGAAUGUAGCAAUACAUGGCGAACUGCUCAGUAACACGUGGACAACCUGCCCUUAGGUUGGGUAUAAACCCGGGAAACUGGGUAUAAUACCCGAUAGGUCUCGAUUGCUGGAAUGCAUCGAGAUUUAAAGCUCCGGCGCCUAAGGAUGGGUCUGCGGCCUAUCAGGUAGUAGUGGGUGUAGCGUACCUACUAGCCUACGACGGGUACGGGUUGUGAGAGCAAGAGCCCGGAGAUGGAUUCUGAGACACGAAUCCAGGCCCUACGGGGUGCAGCAGGCGCGAAAACUUUACAAUGCUGGCAACAGCGAUAAGGGAACCUCGAGUGCCAGGUUACAAAUCUGGCUGUCGAGAUGCCUAAAAAGCAUUUCAUAGCAAGGGCCGGGCAAGACCGGUGCCAGCCGCCGCGGUAACACCGGCGGCUCGAGUGGUAACCGUUAUUAUUGGGUCUAAAGGGUCUGUAGCCGGCCGGAUAAGUCUCUUGAGAAAUCUGGCAGCUUAACUGUCAGGCUUUCAGGAGAUACUGUCUGGCUCGAGGCCGGAAGAGUGA